rnacentral:rRNA from 1 species
CCCUAUGGGGUGCAGCAGGCGGCAGGCGAGGGCGCCUUGAGUAUGGCGUCCGGGGCCGUUUCCUGGAUACCGGCAGGCCUGUUUGUGGCCGCGUCCGUAUCUCCCCCGGGGAGGCUUUUUCAGCAAUCGCCCGGGGAGGUCGUUGACACCGCGCGGACUAUUCAAGAGGCAUUGACCUACCAGUCCAGGACCAAAGGCGGACAGCAGGUCGCAGAGGUGGCGGCGUAUCCGUUCACCAAAACCGCAGAAAUGGGAACCGAGUCGCGCGAUCGAUGGUGGCAAAUGGCCGAAAAGGCCAGGCAGGGAGGCGACAACAUCACGGCCGCCGGUUAUGACGCGCUUGGCUUUAUCGCAGGAAUUGGCGGGGGAGC